rnacentral:sRNA from 1 species
GCCGGGAGAACAGGGAGCUCCUGGAGCGCAGCCUGGAGAGUCGGGACCACCUGCACCGCGAACAGCGGGAGUACCUGGACCAGCUUAAUGCCCUGCGCCGCGAGAAGCAGAAGCUCGUGGAGAAGAUCAUGGACCAAUACCGCGUGCUGGAGCCUGUGCCCCUGCCCCGGACCAAGGUCCCCUUCCCCGGCACCCAUGCGCCGGGCCCAGAGCUCCCUCUGCCUGCGGGAUGAGACCUUGGCAGGCGGGCAGCGGCGGAAACUCAGCUCAAGGUUCCCGGUGGGGCGAAGCUCUGAGUCAUUCAGCCCUGGGGACACCCCUAGGCAACGAUUCCGACAGCGCCAUCCAGGCCCCCUGGGGGCGCCCGUCUCCCACAGCAAAGGACCUGGUGUGGGAUGGGAGAACUCCGCUGAGACCCUGCAGGAACACGAAACAGAUGCCAACCGAGAGGGCCCCGAGGCACAGGAACCGGAGAAACAUCCCCUCACCCCAUCCCUCAGCCAGUGACACCGUGGGAACAGCAGGCUUGGGAGUGCAGCCUUCUCGGCACUGGAGUGUCAGCGGAGGCCCCAGGCAGCCCAAGAGCUCAGGGAGCCAGGGACCCCAAGGGGAGUCCUUGGACAAGGAGGCCUGGGCCCUGAGAUCCUCCACGGUCAGCGCCGGGGCCCGGAGAUGGAGCUGGGACGAGUGUGUGGACAGGGGGGAUGGCUGGCCCCCACGAGCAGCUCCAGGCCGGAGUUCUGGUUCUUCCAGGUGGCUCCCGCUGAGGCAGCGGUCUCUGGG